UCAUCCCUUAAAGGAGAAGAUGGAAAAGAAAAUAAGAUGGGGACGAAGAUGAUGAUAGUUGCAGCUUUCAUUUUCUGCAUUAUCAGUUCACAGAAUGCAAAAAUCGAGCCGCAGGUGGAUUGCUUCGCUGCUUGUGCUACUCGUUGCCCUCUAACCAACUGCUUAGACAGCAUUGUGAACGCAAGUGCCAGAUUCGAUGCAGUCCAGAUUCCAUAGCAAAUGGGAAUUUGGUUUAGCACCUGGAAGAUUAAAAUCUACAUGCUACAUUCAAGUUCCAUGGUGUUACGUAUGUAUCUGUGUUCAUAUCGUAUCCAACAUUUGUAUAAUACAGAAAGUAGAAUAAGAAAUGUUUGGAAGAAUAAAUGUACUGCUCUAUUAUUUGGAGAAAGUAAAGCUGAAAAAUUAAACA